rfam:Oryza brachyantha chromosome 3, whole genome shotgun sequence.
AGGUUUCAUUUGAAGGAAGGAUGUCUACCCAAUACAAACUUCCUAAAGUAAAAUUUCCAUUUCCUGUUCGUGGUGUUGUUGGUAUGUUCGUUGAGCCUCUAAUGACUAGAACCACA